UAUGUAGGGACCAAGCGUUGUUCGGAUUUACUGGGCGUAAAGGGCGCGUAGGCGGUUGGAUAAGUCAGCUGUGAAAACCACGGGCUUAACUCGUGGCCUGCAGUUGAGACUGUCUGGCUUGAGUGUGGGAGAGGAGAGUGGAAUUCCUGGUGUAGCGGUGAAAUGCGUAGAUAUCAGGAGGAACACCGGUGGCGAAGGCGGCUCUCUGGGCCGAUACUGACGCUGAGGAGCGAAAGCGUGGGGAGCGAACAGG
rnacentral:rRNA from 1 species